UUGGAAGAAAUUUGAUCCUGGCUCAGGAUGAACGCUGGCGGCGUGCUUAACACAUGCAAGUCGAACGAUGAAGCUCCAGCUUGCUGGGGUGGAUUAGUGGCGAACGGGUGAGUAACACGUGAGUAACCUGCCCUUGACUCUGGGAUAAGCCUUGGAAACGGGGUCUAAUACCGGAUAGGAGCAUUCACCGCAUGGUGGGUGUUGGAAAGAAUUUCGGUCUUGGAUGGACUCGCGGCCCAUCAGCUUGUUGGUGAGGUAAUGGCUCACCAAGGCGACGACGGGUAGCCGGCCUGAGAGGGUGACCGGCCACACUGGGACUGAGACACGGCCCAGACUCCUACGGGAGGCAGCAGUGGGGAAUAUUGCACAAUGGGCGCAAGCCUGAUGCAGCGACGCCGCGUGAGGGAUGACGGCCUUCGGGUUGUAAACCUCUUUCAGUAGGGAAGAAGCGAAAGUGACGG
rnacentral:rRNA from 1 species